UGGCUCACCAAGGCGACGACGGGUAGCCGGCCUGAGAGGGUGACCGGCCACACUGGGACUGAGACACGGCCCAGACUCCUACGGGAGGCAGCAGUGGGGAAUAUUGCACAAUGGGCGCAAGCCUGAUGCAGCGACGCCGCGUGAGGGAUGACGGCCUUCGGGUUGUAAACCUCUUUCAGUAGGGAAGAAGCGAAAGUGACGGUACCUGCAGAAGAAGCGCCGGCUAACUACGUGCCAGCAGCCGCGGUAAUACGUAGGGCGCAAGCGUUAUCCGGAAUUAUUGGGCGUAAAGAGCUCGUAGGCGGUUUGUCGCGUCUGCCGUGAAAGUCCGGGGCUCAACUCCGGAUCUGCGGUGGGUACGGGCAGACUAGAGUGAUGUAGGGGAGACUGGAAUUCCUGGUGUAGCGGUGAAAUGCGCAGAUAUCAGGAGGAACACCGAUGGCGAAGGCAGGUCUCUGGGCAUUAACUGACGCUGAGGAGCGAAAGCAUGGGGAGCGAACAGGAUUAGAUACCCUGGUAGUCCAUGCCGUAAACGUUGGGCACUAGGUGUGGGGGACAUUCCACGUUUUCCGCGCCGUAGCUAACGCAUUAAGUGCCCCGCCUGGGGAGUACGGCCGCAAGGCUAAAACUCAAAGGAAUUGACGGGGGCCCGCACAAGCGGCGGAGCAUGCGGAUUAAUUCGAUGCAACGCGAAGAACCUUACCAAGGCUUGACAUGAACCGGUAAUACCUGGAAACAGGUGCCCCGCUUGCGGCCGGUUUACAGGUGGUGCAUGGUUGUCGUCAGCUCGUGUCGUGAGAUGUUGGGUUAAGUCCCGCAACGAGCGCAACCCUCGUUCUAUGUUGCCAGCACGUGAUGGUGGGGACUCAUAGGAGACUGCCGGGGUCAACUCGGAGGAAGGUGGGGACGACGUCAAAUCAUCAUGCCCCUUAUGUCUUGGGCUUCACGCAUGCUACAAUGGCCGGUACAAAGGGUUGCGAUACUGUGAGGUGGAGCUAAUCCCAAAAAGCCGGUCUCAGUUCGGAUUGGGGUCUGCAACUCGACC
rnacentral:rRNA from 1 species